AACAACAACAAUAAUAAUAAUAAUCUGUUUUCAUCCCACCCUUCCUGCAAGAAGCUCAAUACAGCAUGAACGGUUCUCACACUGCAAGCUAAGUUAGGCUGGGAGAUAGAGUCAAAGUCUUCCAAUGAGUUUCGUGGCUAAAUGGAUAUUUGAACCAGGAUCUCCUCCGGUCCUACUCUGAUAUUCUCUAACCAAUACUUUAUCACUUAGUUGUGAGUUUUUCCACAGACUCUCACUUCUCCAGCUCCCUCUGUCAGUCUACUUUGCCAAACACUUCAUGUCACUAGCUGCCAAUCAGGGCCUUCGUUCCUGCAAUGGAAUCUUGUUUUUUAAACCUGCCAAUUGGGGCAGAGGUGAAAGUACUGGAAGCCUCAGGCGAUCAUCUAUUAUCAUGGGCAACAAUCGCUGGGAUCUCUUCUAUCCCACUGUCACCACAAUUCAAGACAUGAAUCUUAAAGCUGAGAAAAGCAGAAAAAGAAUGAUCAAUCCUGAGAAUAUUGGUUCUCUUUCUAAAGGGAAAAACAAGUUUUUAGUUCUCAAGGUCUAGAAGUUACACUUUGAAACUAUAGAAGCUGCUGAAAUAUGUGACGCUUGAACUGGGAAACAAAUAGGAUUUUAUGAGGUAAAGGGCAGGGAUCCCUGUGUUACUCUUUGGUCCUCCCCAUAACAAGCAAAAACAGAAUACUGUAAAAUAUACAAAGAGGCUUGAAUUGUGUAACACAGGUGUAAAGAUACUGGAUUUUUUUAAAGCAGAGAUUAAAUGUAAGAAGGUUGUUACAAUAAAAGUAUUUGAUAUAAAAAUGGUUAAUUGUGUGAAGAAGCAGGGAAACCCAGCAUUUUGCUUCUGGCUGAAGUCAGAAAAUAUAUAAUGUAUGUGGGUUCAGCUGGCAGUCUUGCCAGGAAGGAGCUAGUUUCAAAAUACCAGAUUUGGCUCCAUACUUGCUAGGUUUACAGUUAAUGGCAGUUAGCUGUGGACUCUACCUUUUAUUAGGGUCAAGUGAAUUGAAAAAGUCAAAUGGUGAUAGGUCCUUUCGUGGACAUUCCGUUCGAAUGAUUGGUCCAAUGAGGACUCGGAACUCCAGGAAGAACCCAAUGAUUGGCCAGAGGGAGUAAAUAUAAGGGCAGACACAGCAUUCUUUGGGAGCAGUUGGUCAGGAGACUAGAGAGAGUCGGUAGGUGAGCUUAGAACCGCAGGAGACAGGGGCUGAGGGAGGCCAGCCAGGAGAGGUGUUUUCCAGGAUGGUGUCUGACCAGAGUUGCCAGCAGCUGACAGUGGGCCUCAGGAAGGAGAAAGACUUCAGAGGCAGCACCAUCAUGGCUGAGUCUUCAAGCACCAGACCAGAAGAGAGAUUUCUGAAGAAAACUGAAUCAAGCCGAUCAGGGGAUCUUUGACUGUGUCGGACCGGUCAUCCCACUCAGGGGAGCCAAACUGGUAUCGCCCUUCCAUGAUCAUCCGAAGCAUCAGCAUCUGCUUACGGUGCCAGAAAGGAGGAGAGCCAGCCAAGAGGGUGAAAAAGAUGACUCCACAGGCCCAACUUCAGGGAAAGGAGGAGAGAGCUUUAUUUCCUGCACCCUUUUCCCAAAUACCAAAAUUGGAGAACAGCAAAGCAGAAAAACUAAGGAAUAUUGGCCAAGGAAGCACCCUAUACAAUUAGUGCAGCUUUUUGGAA